rnacentral:tRNA from 1 species
CGGGGCAUGGCGCAGUUUGGUAGCGCACUCGCUUUGGGAGCGAGGGGUCGCAGGUUCAAAUCCUGUUGCCCCGAC